AGCAGCCGCGGUAAUUCCAGCUCCAAUAGCGUAUAUUAAAGUUGUUGCAGUUAAAAAGCUCGUAGUUGAAUUUCGGGAUUGACACAUCGGUCGUGCCUUAAGGGGUAUGAACUGGUGUAGUCAAUUUCUCACCUUCUGGAGAACCGCGAUGCCCUUAAUUGGGUGUCGCGGGGAACCAGGACCUUUACUUUGAAAAAUUAGAGUGUUUAAAGCAGGCAUUUUGCUUGAAUACAUUAGCAUGGAAUAAUAAAAUAGGACGGCAUGAUUCUAUUUUGUUGGUUUCUAGGAUCACCGUAAUGAUUAAUAGGGAUAGUUGGGGGCAUUAGUAUUCAAUUGUCAGAGGUGAAAUUCUUGGAUUUAUUGAAGACUAACUACUGCGAAAGCAUUUGCCAAGGAUGUUUUCAUUAAUCAAGAACGAAAGUUAGGGGAUCGAAGACGAUCAGAUACCGUCGUAGUCUUAACCAUAAACCUAUGCCG
rnacentral:rRNA from 1 species